GCACCGAUGGUGUAUGGUACACGCGCCGAUACAAUGUGAGCAAAGAUACUACUUACAACGGCAAGCUGGGGUUCGAUUCCCCGUCGGUGCG